rnacentral:rRNA from 1 species
GGACGUGGGGGCGUGCUUACACAUGCAGUCGAACGCUGAAGCACCAGCUUGCUGGUGUGGAUGAGUGGCGAACGGGUGAGUAAUACGUGAGUAACCUGCCCUUGACUCUGGGAUAAGCCCGGGAAACUGGGUCUAAUACUGGAUGCUACAUGUCACCGCAUGGUGGUGUGUGGAAAGGGUUUACUGGUCUUGGAUGGGCUCACGGCCUAUCAGCUUGUUGGUGAGGUAAUGGCUCACCAAGGCGACGACGGGUAGCCGGCCUGAGAGGGUGACCGGCCACACUGGGACUGAGACACGGCCCAGACUCCUACGGGAGGCAGCAGUGGGGAAUAUUGCACAAUGGGCGAAAGCCUGAUGCAGCGACGCCGCGUGAGGGAUGACGGCCUUCGGGUUGUAAACCUCUUUCAGCAGGGAAGAAGCCACAAGUGACGGUACCUGCAGAAGAAGCGCCGGCUAACUACGUGCCAGCAGCCGCGGUAAUACGUAGGGCGCAAGCGUUGUCCGGAAUUAUUGGGCGUAAAGAGCUCGUAGGCGGUUUGUCGCGUCUGCUGUGAAAGCCCGGGGCUUAACCCCGGGUGUGCAGUGGGUACGGGCAGACUAGAGUGCAGUAGGGGAGACUGGAAUUCCUGGUGUAGCGGUGGAAUGCGCAGAUAUCAGGAGGAACACCGAUGGCGAAGGCAGGUCUCUGGGCUGUUACUGACGCUGAGGAGCGAAAGCAUGGGGAGCGAACAGGAUUAGAUACCCUGGUAGUCCAUGCCGUAAACGUUGGGCACUAGGUGUGGGGGACAUUCCACGUUUUCCGCGCCGUAGCUAACGCAUUAAGUGCCCCGCCUGGGGAGUACGGCCGCAAGGCUAAAACUCAAAGGAAUUGACGGGGGCCCGCACAAGCGGCGGAGCAUGCGGAUUAAUUCGAUGCAACGCGAAGAACCUUACCAAGGCUUGACAUAUACCGGAUCGUUCCAGAGAUGGUUCUUCCCCUUUGGGGUCGGUAUACAGGGGUGCAUGGUGUCGUCAGCUCGUGUCGUGAGAUGUUGGGUUAAGUCCCGCAACGAGCGCAACCCUCGUUCCAUGUUGCCAGCACGUGAUG